AUAAACACCUGGAGGAGAGAUACUGUGACCAAGAAGGUGGCUUCCUCAGGGCAAGGCUCAGCCAUGGUGCUCCAGAUAUGGUGACUCCUGUAGUUUCUCCAACUGUGUAAAAGUCAACUGCAUGAUUUGGGGGACUGCAUUUAUGUUCUCCCUUA
rnacentral:snRNA from 1 species